rnacentral:lncRNA from 1 species
UCGACACUUUUUAUUUCAUCAAUAUACUACAAAACUUAACACCAUACACUUGCGGUUAAAUCACAUUACAUAAAUCUUGCGGCACCUUCCCUUCAAAGCAGAUGGCUGCAACUUCUAAUUUCUCCUAUUCAGAUAUAUGGGUGAGGCCAAAAUAUCGUUCAGCUUUGAAGACCCAGGUCAUCUUCAAACUCGGAACUUCCAACCUUCGAUUACGAAACUCUGGUCUCCACCAGCCUACUCCUCCAUCCUCGUUUUCUUCUUCUGUUGGCAUCGUAACUCCGGAUUUAAUAGUAAACCCGGUCGAAGGAGCCUCUUUUGUCCCUUUUCCUUUCCGUUCCUUCUCACAUUCCUCCCAAUGGCCCACGAUAAAUUUAAAUUGCUCCAUCAACAAGCUCAUGUCCUUUUCUAUGUUUUGCACCCUCUGCAUCUCAGCCUUCGUUGAAUCCUGCCUGCCCGAAAUGCGGCCAGUCUCCCCUCCAGGUUGCGAUGAUAACUUUCCAAUUUCCCUACCCAAUCGGUCAACAUCAUAUUCAUGAAUUUGCUUUGAUACCAAAACGAUAAGUUCCCCACUAGUUGAACACCAUAUCACAAUACAAAGGAACUCAAAAUGAUGAUGAUGAUGAUGAUGAUGAUGAUGAUGAUGAUGAUGAUGAUAAUCAAAAAGAAGAAUGUUUCCUUGAUAAUAAACUGAAUGGAUACAACCAAGAAUAGAUGCAGAAUGCUUAAAGGAAAUGAAAGAGAAAACAAAGGAUAGUUGGACUUUUGAGAUGUCCAAACUCUCCUGCUAGAGAUUUCCACUUACUUCCUGGCCUUCUCCUAAUUUCUUCCCACUUAUAUACUUGAGACUCCAUAAUAGCUUACCCAACUGAAUUUGUUGUGCCCGUGUGCAGCCCCUUUUUUGGUUGGUUUUUAUGCGCCUCUCGAGGACACCAAUACAAAACAAAAUAGGGGAGGCCCAAUAGAAUUCUUUCUCCCACACACCUUUGCCCUCUUUCAUCGAGAAGGAAAGAAAUUCUUCGAUUGAAUGAUAAGAACAAAAAAGUGGACAAAUCCGAUCAAUGGUCCUAGUCAGCAGCACGAGGACUUUCU